AAGCUGAUUCUUAGAUAUAGAAACUUUCACCAGUUGUUCAUUAGUCUGAAUGACAAACAUUCCAGCACGACUGCCAGGAUUUUAAGGUUGCCUUUGAUCCUUGGGGGGCUAAUGAUCAUUAAAUAACGACAUGCAAACCCAAACCACAUUGUGUUGGAUAGUCUUUCUGCAGCCAGACAGUUAUAUUCACAUAACACAGUGAUUGUGACUAUUGAUUAUGUUACAAGCUAAGAAACAGCUAUUUGAUUAAUUUCUGUUGAGGUCUACUGGGUAAUUUGCUGAGGUUUGCUUUGCAGCAAAAACCAUGGCAGCUGCUGCAUGUUGACUUCAGUGAAGCAGAUCUUCUUCAGGAGACUGUGAGGAAGCUAGGAAAUGUGGGAUCUCUGCAGGAUUGCAGGAGAUAUUUCAUGGCUUGUUGCAAGCUUGCUGAGAUGCGUUCAUGGGAUAAAUGAAGUUGAAAAUCUACUGUUAAGAGUUGACAAGGAUGACACCGGCUUCAUGCAUCAGCCCAGCUGCUACUGGUGGAUCAGAAAUUUCUCCAUGCCUCUGCUGUUCCUUAACACAAAAAGUGGUCCGAGUGCCGUCUAGCAAGCUGAAUGCCACGUAAAGGCCACUGAAAGGGCAGUGGGCGUAGUGAUCUUGGCUGCCUUGGACUUUCACUUUCAGACAUUUGGAUUCUAAAAAGUGCUGCAAUCACAGCUUCUGAAAAUUCAUAUUUUAGUCUAUGCUAAGAGCCAUGCACCUGUGUCCCGAGGAGGUUUCCAUGCCUGGACAUGCUGAAAGACUGCAGUAGAAACAGGGGUUCACCCUGAACCUCCAGCUGGAAUGACUGAACCAUGGCUCUUACUUCUACAAUUCACCGGGCACUAUCAAAAACGAGUCUCCAACUUGGUGUUUAGUGCUCAGGCACCCCCUGAGUUGUCACAGAUUUAAUUCAGGCUCACCUAUAGUCUACAGAUUAAAAUGUAUCAAAUAUCUAAUGCUACUGAGGAAAGGUAGCUGACAUUAUUUCUUGUUUUUAUACAUGAUAAAAUUACAAAAUUUCACUGAAAAAAAAUUGUCUUGGUAAAGCUUUUACCAUUCUUUAGGGGAUUUGUGAAGUUUUCCUUCUUGUUUCUUAAUGAGACCUGGUAAUGGAUUAUGCAGGCUUCAUCCCAGGCAUGCAAUAAUUACACAGUGUGGGCAGGAUUUACAGCAAAGCACUUAAUCUGGAACUAUUCACACAUGCUCAUUUCAAAUACAUAAAUAAAUAAUCUCAGAAGCAGCCAAACUCAAUAUUAGCAGCUGAAUUAUACCUGCACAUUUCUAAAUUUCAUUGUCCUGUUGCCUGAGGAUAGAGUAAGAGAGUGUGAGACAUAAUAAAGUCAAAGAGAAAUGCUGAAUUGGUUGGAAGAGCUGCCUUUCCCCUUUUGGUGCUAGGGUUUGCACUGACAGCACCCAGCAGAGCUUGGCUUUGGUACCAGAAAUGUAACUGCUACAAAGGUCACCAGACUGGUAUAGGGACGUGUUGCUGCAACUUUUUCCCUAGGCAUGAAAGAGAAGAGAAACCCUUAAAUGAACCAAGCUGAAAUGAAAAGGCCAGGGCCCAGAUGAGCUUGGAAGGAAGGAUGAAGUUAAAAGGCAUAUUGUGUGAGAUGCGUUUCACCCCCUUUUUUAUUCACUUACCAGCACCUACACAAUGACUAGUUAAAAUCCUCAUGGGGAUAACCACUGCAUAGAUUUUUUCUGGCAGCUAAAGUGAAAUUUUAUUGAUCUGACAGCAUCUCAUAUAAAUCACACACGGAUCUAGAAUGCAAGAUUUCACUGACAAAAACUGCAGUUUGAAGGGAACUUGGACAACUCCAUCAAUAGUGACUGAUAUAGUUGAAUAUCCAGAGAGAACUUACAAAGCAGCAAAAAGCUUCUCUGGGAGAUCAGAUUGGUUUGUGAGAAAUAAAGGAUAAAUGUAGAUUUUAAAAUGCUUCUAAAUUUCAUUGUGCAUGAAAAUCGGCUGAAACAAUGAAUUUGCCCAGUUUUGAAAUUUCAUGUUUUGUUUCAGCAACACACGUUUACUUAUUUGUUCAAAGAGAUUGUAAAAGAAUGUUCAUGGAAACUUGAAAUACAACCUGAAAAUAUGCCCUGGUACCAACAAUAUGAACAUUUAUAAGUUUAGUGUGACACUGCCAGACCCGGCCAAGAAGAGAAUCCUUUUAGGCAUGGUAGAAUGGAGAAGAGAAGAUGAACUCUAUUUGGAAGAGCUUACUCUGAUGACCUGUGUUGAGGAAUCAUUUAUUUUUUUGCAGUUUUACUUAAUGAUAUCUAUAAAUGUGUAGAGCAGCUACAAUGUUACCUUUAUCAUAGCGGCAUCGUAGUUUAUUACUUGCUCUGCCACUCUCUCUUCAUUGCUGCUCCAGGAAAUGAUGCUACAGUGAGGAGGGUUGAGUCUCUCACAGAAUAUUUCCUCCCCAGAGCAAGGGAAGGGCAGUUGGAAGCCACAGUCUGCUUGGUCAUUUCCAGGGGAAGGCAGUUUAGAAAGGUCUUUUGCACUGAAAUAAAAAACAAAUUUAGAAAGCUGUGGAUGGAUCACAUCCUUGGUUUGAUUAUAACACCCUCAAUACCAAGCCUCAGAGAUUGCAUUUCAGUCAGGCUAAUUGCUCAUUGAAAAGGGGAUAUGUGGGUUCAUUUUUAGAGAACUGAUCUACUAGGGGGCUGUUUUAAAACACUGGUUACAUUUCCCUGAUCUGUUCUUCAUUUAAUACGUGAACAAAUAGGACCUCAUACUAUUCUUCUGAAAUGAUUACAUUGGAUUACCUGUUAAUACAUGUUUUGGACGUUGUGUGUUUUUUCAACAGGAGUGUCAAGCAUGACAAACCAUUAUUAUGACCACACUUUUCAGGAUAAUGUUAAUUAGCCCUCACAACAAACUAAAACCUCCCCUGCUUCAGCAGUCUCACACACACCAUCUCAAAAGUGGUAAUAACUUACAACUGGUAAAGAAACACCAUUCAUCUAGUGGCUGGUCUCUAGACAGGAAACAUGAAGACAAACAGUUCCUAGCUUGCUUGCCUGCCUGUAAUGUGAGUAAUGGUUCUCUUGUUUCUCUGUUGUUUUUCUUUGUGUGUGUAUGUGUAUUUUCUUCUUUCUUCAUCUCCUUGAGUGUAAGGGUGAUUGGAGCACAGUAAACUGCAUUAGUAACUUGGCACAACAGGUAUGAAGCCAUGGAACAAAACUGUCAGAACUGGGGACCCAAGAGCCACCCUUUUUGUCUUUUAUUAUGUAGUGCAUUUUGUUCUAGUCUGACUGAAAGCACCAAAUGCCCAUUAUCAGCCAGAACAUCUCAGUUUCUGGUUCAGUUUCAUUCAAAAGUAAUCCAGUUUGCAUUCUCUAGGACCAUUCCUUGAUGCAAAUCAGUGUGGUUAGAAGAGGUGAUCAGACACGCUCAACAGCUGCACUACUGCUCCAAGCUAAAACACCAUUGUAUACAUGUACACACACUUUUGUUGUUACAUAGUGUAAAUGAUCUCAGGUCAGAGUUUUCAGAGGCUAAAGCAACAUAAAUUUCCUUGAAAGUCAGAGCGAAUACCAGAUGGACAGUAUAGAGGUUGAAUAAAGGUAUGUUCCAUAUAAUUAAAAAAAAAAAAAUUAAAGCAAAUCUAUGUAUACAGCCAAUAUUAUUAAUAAAAAUAUGUCCAUUUGGGAAUGUUUGCAAUCUUGAUGGAAAUUUUUGGAAAAUUUUGGCAAUCCUGGAAUUAUAACUUUUCACUUCAUAAUAAUAUUCUUCUCCUUUGUUGGGACACAAAACCAAAGAUUAAAAUACUAGAAUCUGACAUAAGCCACAGAUUGCCCUUUUCAGUCAGCAGUAAAUAUUCAAUUUUUCUAAAAAUACGCAGGCUGUACUUUUUUGUCAUUUUCUACCAAAAAUUUUGUUCAUUUGGAUUGCAUUUUUUUCAUGAGUAAAUAAUUUUCCACACAUUUGGUCUAAAACUGGUAUAUUACAACUGCAAGAAAAAGCCAGUAAUUCAGAAGAAUUCAGAUGUUUCCUCCCCAGUACUGAAGCCAUCUUACCACAGCUGUUCCUGAUAACCAGAGCACAGCUUGAACACUGGGAGUCGAAGCUCACAGUGAUGAAUCCUC